rnacentral:rRNA from 1 species
GGGUUGUGAGGUUAAGCGACUAAGCGUACACGGUGGAUGCCCUGGCAGUCAGAGGCGAUGAAGGACGUGCUAAUCUGCGAUAAGUGCCGGUAAGGUGAUAUGAACCGUUAUAACCGGCGAUUUCCGAAUGGGGAAACCCAGUGUGAUUCGUCACACUAUCAUUAACUGAAUCCAUAGGUUAAUGAGGCGAACCGGGGGAACUGAAACAUCUAAGUACCCCGAGGAAAAGAAAUCAACCGAGAUUCCCCCAGUAGCGGCGAGCGAACGGGGAGGAGCCCAGAGCCUGAAUCAGCAUGUGUGUUAGUGGAAGCGUCUGGAAAGGCGCGCGAUACAGGGUGACAGCCCCGUACACAAAAGCGCAUGUGCUGUGAGCUCGAUGAGUAGGGCGGGACACGUGGUAUCCUGUC